rnacentral:rRNA from 1 species
UGGGGAAUAUUGCACAAUGGGCGCAAGCCUGAUGCAGCAACGCCGCGUGAGUGAUGAAGGCCUUUGGGUCGUAAAACUCUGUCCUAGGGGAAGAAUAAAAUGACGGUACCCUGGGAGGAAGCCCCGGCAAACUACGUGCCAGCAGCCGCGGUAAUACGUAGGGGGCAAGCGUUAUCCGGAAUCACUGGGCGUAAAGGGUGCGUAGGCGGUCCUUCAAGCCAGAGGUAAAAGGCAUUGGCUUAACCAAUGUAAGCCUUUGGAACUGUGGGACUUGAGUGUAGGAGAGGUAAGUGGAAUUCCUAGUGUAGCGGUGAAAUGCGUAGAUAUUAGGAGGAACACCAGUGGCGAAGGCGACUUACUGGACUAUAACUGACGCUGAGGCACGAAAGCGUGGGGAGCA